AAAACAGAAUGUCUUUUGUAAAACAUGAUCCACGGGCCUUCACUCAUAAACUGUCCUUACAGAUGUGGCAUCUUUCCGUGGAGAGUCAUCACCAGUGGAGUCAUCUUGAGAUGAGUCUUUUCAAUACGAUUGGUGUCUCCUUUGAAAGUGCCAUAAAGUACUGUGCGAAGAUGCUGUUCCCCUUCAUUGUUAAAGGGAAACAGACUUUGGGCAUAAUCCAGGAUGAAUUCAGCUUGCUCCGACAAAUACAUGGCAAUGGCCAAGAGAAGGUGAUACCUGAGAUAUUCCGCCUUCCUUGGAGGGUCUCGAUGCCUGAGCACCAUGUCAAGUGUGCUUUUCUGGGCAUUUCCAUUGCUCUGGCACACGAAAUCCAAGUAUUGUAUUUUUUUAGCUUCUAGAAAUGAAGAAAGAACUUGGUCAGACCAUGAGUUAGUACAUGGACCACUAGAUAUGAUCUCCAGCGAACCAUAAUGCUUGGUAUUACAAAGUAUCAAAAUUACUUGUGAGCCUCUUUAGUACGGAGAAGGUCUUUAUUUUUAAACGAGAUUUUCAUUCCUUCACGAUCUUUAGCCCGAAUGGCCACCUUAAAUGGAUCAUCGUGCAUGCUGCACACUAAAAUAGAAGUCGAAGCCUGGUGCUCCUCUUGCCAAUUAAUGAACAAUUUUAACCCAGCUUGGUUUUUUUCUAUUAUGGGAAUCCCUAGAAGACUUUUGUUAUCAAAGUCGGCGGACUUCAUUUCUUUUAGCAAUAACUCAAUAAUCUCACCAAUCACUCCCUUUUGAUGACAUUGGGCCAAAGCGUGGAUAACCGUGUUGCCCUUGUUGUCGCUAUCCGUGGCCUUAGCACCAUGUCGAAUCAAACAGGGAGUCACAUCAAAUAAUUCCUCCUCGACGGCCAUAUGCAAAAUCGGGGCUUCAUUGUCAUCGCAGGCUUUUGCAUUCGCUCCAAGCUCACGAAUGUCGUUUUGGUCCUGGUUGAUUGGGUUCAACAUUGAUUCCACUACCGAGGUCAUUUCAGGCCCAGGUUCUGUAGGCUCUUGGGGCAUAUUGAUGAUAAUGCUUGGUUCGAUUGGUGAUGGUGGUUCCAUCGAUGAUCCCAUUGGCGAUUCCGUUGGUAGUGUCAUUGUGAUUGGAAUUAAAAAGCACGAGAGAAGGCACAAGUAUCCUUCAAUCAACUGAUGAUCAAUACUUUUGGGUCCUCAGGCAAAGGCCACAACGCAUAAAGCAUUUUUGGAAUGACCGAUAGAGGUACGAGACAGGCCGAGACAGGCCGAGACAGGCCGAGACAGCGACAGCUUGGCUAACGUGGACGGAAACACCGAGAGGCCGACUUUUGACUCGAUCAACAAACUCCUCAUUCUAAUGGCGUGCGGAAAACGAUCAAUGUAAGUGAGGAUUUCGCGUAAAAAGUGACAGUGUUCGGAGAUUUCAAAGGUCGUGUACCCCCCCAAGAAAGACCUGACUAGUUUCUGCCGCUGGUGGAGUGUCAAUUACCCCGGAUUUCAAGUAUGAAGGCCUCUCAAGAUAGAUCAACUGGGGGCCAAAGUGACAUUCGAAAAUGAUGAACUUUGUUCGGUUGAUUUGGGCGGCUCAGCUUACAAAUUGAUGACCAAGCCCAUCAGGACGGUGUUACCAGGGUGGUUGAGGUGAUGGCUCCCACUAUCCCAGUUCUCGACCAGACUUGGAGUCAAGCUUGACUUUUGAAAGCCAUCCAGGUUGCUUGCCAACUUGACAAUUCACGCUACCAGACAAAACAACAAUUACAGCUUUCAUUGGCCGAAACAUUGUGUUGUAAAGAACUUUGAAUGAUUUGUAACCCAAAUUCUCAAGUGCAUUUGCGACCAUUGUGUUCAAUAAUCGGUGUUGAAGGGCCAUGUCCAGGUCGCAAUUAGAUGUAUGCUGGUUAAGAACUUCAAGUAGCCAGAGUUGAGGAGAAGUCGGCCUUCCUCUGUGGAGAGUGCCGUCCAGGGGUAGCAGCCGUCCCUGGCCGAGAUAAGACUCAAGCUCAGCGAUGGGAAAGAUCUAGAUUGAUCGAAUUUCUGCCACUGUAGAAAAGGGUAGAAAGUGGCAAAAUGGUAGAACUUCCUGGAAGGUGGUCAAAAAUGGCCGCCAGUGGUUAGAAUGGCCGAUCUUGAUUCUAAAAGAUGUCAAAAACAAGAAAGAUCAUUUGGGUUGGAUAAGAUUUUCAAGUGUCCUUUGCUAGAAAGCAUUUUGGUAUAGCAUUGGCUGAAAUGCAAAAUGUUCCUCGAAUGAAAUUCGAGUAUAAUUUUUAUACUGUUGGAUGGGUUAAUUGAGUUGAUAACAGUAUCCAUAGACUAUUGAUAGUAUCCAAGGCCACGGACAUCUAAAGAAAGAGAUGGACUCCGCUCAGUCACAGAUUCCCUUUCUUGGGUGACCCCCAAGGGAGAAGCGACAAAGUAGCAACGCCAAUUCAGCCUGUAUUAUGUCUUAAGGCUUGCUUAGUCUUGGCCAGAUCGGCGGGGUCAACAGUUUGGCAUUAAGUGGUGAAAUGGGCUGGAAUUUUCGACUCGUCCUACUUGCCUUCAAAUUGCUCAUUCAGGGCUUCUCUUUUCAAAUGAGGAGGCUAAUAAUAAGGUUUGAUAUAUACACUUCAUUGAGGGAAAGUUACCAAACGUCAAAUAUUUUGAACUGCAUUAUUGUGGAAAUGCUUGUAAUUAUUUUCAACUUCAUUUCAUGGUUAAACCAUGUCCAUGCCCAAUAACUAAAUACCAAUAAAAAGUCAAGCUGGCUUUGGCUAUCAAAUCUGUUUGAACUAAUAGAGUGACGUGAUAUGAAGCCAAAGCAAAAACGUUUGAAAUUCCUCAAAAAUCAGUUUGUUUUGAAAAUCAGUUCAUUUUGAAAUUCAGCAAGAGUUAUCAUACCGAUCCAAAAAUUUGAUAUGAUCACUUCUUAAAAUGUAAUGAUGAAGCUGAGUCUUGGGUUUGUGGCGUAAUCACCCAAAUAUCAGAUAUGAGAUCCUUGCAAUAAUUAAAGUCUAAACAUAUGUCAUAGUUAACUAUCACCUUUAUUAACUGUUAAACAACUAUACUAAACCGAUUGAUCUUAGUCCCUUACAAUAUGUUUUGCAGGAAUCACUGUCUCAUCCUAGAAUAAGAAUAAGAAUAACUUUUUAGUACUCUCUUUAACACCAGUAAAGUGAAUGGCUAAAAACAGAAAUAUGAAGAAUUGGGCCUCAAAUUGCUUUGACCAUUGAAACGCAUUAUGAAUUGCACACUACCAAAAAAAGAAAAUUGUCUUUCAGUAAAAGUUAUUAAAGCAGAUUUCCCUAGCUGUUUGAAGUCCUAGUUGUUUCAAAAGAUAUGCAAAGUGGUUUUAACAUGCCACUCAUACUUUGGAAAGUACAUGGUGGGAAUUAAGUUCUUCAAUCCAACUCUCAACUCUUAGUUAUUCAAAUUACAGCUAUUCAAUUUUUGUAACUUUAAGUUGCUCCCAGACCUCUAAACAAGCCUGGAAGAUUUACAUACUUGUUUUUGCUAAAAUAUAGCAGUGUAUGUGAAAGACAAUUAAAGUUAAUGAUUAUUAAUGUUUGUUUAGGAGAAUUGCAACAAUGAGCUGAAAGGUCUUUGAAAAUCCCUAUGAUCAAGAAUUUUCCAAGGACAAAGUAAACAAAUUAUUAAGAAGAAUUCCAGAUCAAACCUACAUUCCAGGCCUAAAUCGGUCUGCCAACUCAAACUCGUUGGUAGACCAAAUAACAUGCAAAGAUUGAAAGGUAAUGAAUAGGCGACUUAUAACCUUUCAUUUCAAUAGCACUGGAGAUUACAUUCCUUGUAGCGGUUAGAAAAGACCGUGAAAAACCAAACAAAAAAACCCAGAAGGAAUCACAUUGAAGGAGCUCCUUUAAAUUGAAAAAAUGUUCUUAAACUUCAAUUACUUGUUAAAAAAAAAGAGUACAUAAUAUCUUCCCCGCCCUAACUAUUACAUACUUUUGGGAUUGCAGGAGUUAUAAUGCACCUAAUGAACUUGCUGUCAUAGUUUAACAUCAUGCUGUUUCCAAUUCAAUUCAACAUUAAAUGUUUUCUACUGAGGAAGACAUCAUAUGGAAACUGAGAAGCUCAUUUUCAAUUCAUUUACAAUUUUGUUUGACACAGUUGCUUUGGGUCAUUUAGAUUUGAUUGUAAUAUCCAAGUGGAAGGGUCAAGUUAUUUUUGAAAGUUUAAUAUUUAUUUAAGCUAAUGUAACUAGAAGCUCGCUUUUGGGAAGAGAUGAAAGAAGAGUUUUGCAAAUAUCAUUCUAUAUUAGGUAUUAUGUCUCGCUUUUACAAUUGGCAAUAAGUGCCCAUUGAAACCUAUAUCUUGGGUUUGUCAAGGGUCGAGAGUUUUACUAACACUACUGGAAUUUGCAUUCUUAGCUUUAAAGAAGAAUAAAUGAUAGAAAAUUAGGACCUAAAAAUAGGCAAUUGUCCUAAUAAUUCGUAACUAUUGAUAUUUUUGAAUUUUUCAUGACGAAAGAAGCACUGAAAAUGGUGUCAAGGGUGCUCUUUCUAACAAACAGAGAGAUCACCUCUUUCCCCUCUAUGGGUCACCUUCUUUUUGCCGUGCGCCAUCCAAGUCUUCUAGAAAUCCAUGCCAAGGCCUAGCCACAGCAAUUACAGUUCUUUUCAUCGUCAUCAAAAUGGCUAUUGAAUACGUUAUAACCGUUAUAACUUUAUGAAAUGCCGGUUCGACCACAACUUUCUUGCUCUAGUGGACUUCGAUCUAAGUGGAAUGUAAGUUUCUUCAUUUAUUUGUCUUUGCAUCGUUCUAUCAGUUCUAUUCACAUCUUUUCAAUCUUCUCUUCUUUUUCCUCUUGCUCAACCUUGUUCAUCCUUCUUUUCCGGUCAGUCACCGAUUUAGAGUAAAGGCGAGACAGCAAUCAUCCCGUUCACCAAUACCCCGGCAUCCGUCGCGACAAAUGCAAUUGUCGUCCUUUUGACUUAGAAAAAUUUAGUUCAAUGGCAACCCUGAUUCAGAUCGAUUGCGGUGGUAAAAUUCAAACUCGAUCCCACUCCAGUGACGUUUAGUGGUUGUAUCUUGCAUUCGGUGCAAAAAUAUCCAUCCUGGCGUGUCAAAGCUACAUACAGGUAGGCUUAAAAAUUAACGGAAGUGAUCGUAAAUACUAGAAAAAGAUUAUUUAGAAUAAUAUAACGAUUUUUGUGUUUUGCCAUUUUCUGCCACUGAUUUUGACCAAUUUCGGCCAUUUUCUGCCACCAUUUUCUGCCAGGUGGUAGAAAAUGGCGUUUAAUAAUUUCCCAUCCCUGCUCAAGCUACAUUCUAAAUAUGUUGAAAAUACGGUUUUUUUCGACACAAAUUGAUGUCCCUCUAGCGUCGUGUCCGACAACAGGACUCGGCGAUGAGAUGUUUCGGUAGGGGCGCCGUCUAUCAAUAUCUUAAAUAUUGUGUCAAUUGGAUCAUGUCCAUGAAAUAAUUCGAUCGAUUUGGCUUCAAUGGAAGCGGUCAACUUGUGGACUGAGGGACAAGAGUUGCAUAAAGGUUUGCGAGUCCGGACUUCUUCGAAGGACCGGAAAGUUUUGUGCUGCCGUCAAAAUUUCCAGAAGCACGUCAAAUGGAACAAAUGAGUGUCCUGCGAAGUUAUUCUUCCGUGAAUCCCAGAUUUGCACGUGUUAAGAUUUAUUGAGCCUUGAAGAUUGUCCCUCUAAUGCAAAACGCAUCACUGUACGCGGUGCUUGCAUCGUUCUCAAUCCGAUUGUGAACCGAAAUCUCAAACUUUCUAAAAAGUUUGCGUGGAGCUCAUGAAUUUGGCGAGCAUCUCAAAUUUUGCCCAUAAGGUUGAAAUUCUGGUGGAGGAUUGGACGGAGAGUUGGGCACAGGGUUGGCACCAGUUUUGGCACAUGGCAUCGCUGAAAUUGAAAGUUUGUAUAAAAAAUAGUAUUCAACUUCGGCGUUAACAAAGGAAUGACAAUCUGCAAAUAAAGGUCUUAAGAGUGGGAAUAGUUCGAGACUUUCUGAGCCCAAUUUUUUUUAUGUAAAUCCUAGACCGAAGAAAAUUUUCACUGAUGUAAAAUAAAGCACGAUCUUAGAGAGGA